AACGAACGCUGGCGGCAUGCCUAACACAUGCAAGUCGAACGAGACCUUCGGGUCUAGUGGCGCACGGGUGCGUAACGCGUGGGAACCUGCCCUUAGGUUCGGAAUAACUCCCCGAAAGGGGUGCUAAUACCGGAUAAUGUCUUCGGACCAAAGAUUUAUCGCCUUUGGAUGGGCCCGCGUUGGAUUAGCUAGUUGGUAGGGUAAAAGCCUACCAAGGCGACGAUCCAUAGCUGGUCUGAGAGGAUGAUAAGCCACACUGGGACUGAGACACGGCCCAGACUCCUACGGGAGGCAGCAGUGGUGAAUAUUGGACAAUGAGCGAUAAUCUGAUCCAGCAACGUCGCGUGAGUGAUGAAGGCCUUAGGGUUGUAAAGCUCUUUUACCCGGGAUGAUAAUGACAGUACCGGGAGAAUAAGCACCGGCUAACUACGUG
rnacentral:rRNA from 1 species